UUUCCCUUACCAUAGUGUGGCCUACUUGUUGUUUUCUUAAUGAGAAUGAGAAAGAAUUCCACUGUGCAUUGUGCACUUUGGCGCUUCUGUGUUCCAUUGUUGCUGCUUGCCAGCUUCAGUUAUGCUCCUUCUGUUUUGGCGACAGCUGAAAUUUCAGGGAAGGAGAUGAACAUUGACGGGAAGUUUUUAGAGGAAGAAUUAUCAGAAUCAAGUCUAAAAGGAUAAGAUGAAGAAGCCAAAUUUAAAGGAUUUUUUCCAAAGCUAAUUCCAAUUGUUAAGCCUAUUACAAAGUCAAUUCCCAUAGUUAAAGCCUAUUCCUAUUCCAGUUUAUAAGUCUAUCCCGAAACCACUUCCCAUUGCUAAGACUAUUCCAAAACUAAUUCCUAUUGUUAAGCCAAUUUCAAAUGAAGAAGAAAAAUUCAAAAGUCUUUUUCCAAAAUCUAUUCCAAUACCAAAGCCUAUUCCAAACUAAUUCUUAUAUUGUUAAGCCAAUACCAAAGCCAAUUCCUAUUGUUAAACCUAUUUAUAUUCCAGUAUACAAGUGGCUACUAAAGCCAAUUCCUAUUAUUAAGCCUCUACCAAGCCAAUUCCAGUUGUUAAGUCAAUUCCUAUUCUUAAAGCUAUACUAAAUUCAAUUUUCAUUGUUAAAUCUCUAUCGAAACCAUUUAUAGUAAAGAAAUCCAACUCUCCUAUUUGAGCCUGAGGAAUUUUUAAAGCCAAAGCCUCUCUUUAAAAAGCAUAUUCCCAAAUUCCGAAAACCAUUUCUACCACCAUUGCCAAUUAACAAACUAAUUACAACUCCAUAAAAUGAUAACUUUCUACCUCCUGAAACUAUAAAGUUAUCCCUUCAAUUUUUAAUGCUUUUAUUUACACAUCUCAUUCUAAAUCCUUUAGUACCCUUCUUGUGUACUGAAUUGGAAUAUCUGUAGUUAAUCUUUUCUCCUCAAUAAACUUUUCAUCAAUAUUAUCGUUUGUA